rnacentral:tRNA from 1 species
GAGGGUAUAGCUCAGUGGUAGGGCGCGUGCUUAGCGUGCACGAGGUCCUGGGUUCAAUCCCCAGUACUUCCA